CCUACGGGUGGCAGCAGUGAGGAAUAUUGGUCAAUGGGCGCGAGCCUGAACCAGCAAAGUCGCGUGAAGGAUGACUGCCCUACGGGUUGUAAACUUCUUUUAUAAAGGAAUAAAGUGUGGCACGUGUGCCUUUUUGUAUUUACUUUAUGAAUAAGGAUCGGCUAACUCUGUUCCAGCAGCCGCGGUAAUACGGAGGAUUCGAGCGUUAUACGGAUUUAUUGGGUUUAAAGGGAGCGGAGAUUGGUUGGUAAGUCAGUUGUGAAAUUUUGGGGCUCAACCGUAAAAUUGCAAUUGAUACUGGCAUCCUUGAGUACAGUUGAGGUAGGCGGAAUUCGUGGUGUAGCGGUGAAAUGCGUAGAUAUCACGAAGAACUCCGAUUGCGAAGGCAGCCUACUAAACUGCAACUGACAUUGAUGCUCGAAAGUGUGGGUAUCAAACAGGAUUAGAUACCCGAGUAGUC
rnacentral:rRNA from 1 species